CUGGUAGCAGUGGAGGAAAAUCACCUGAAAAAGAGUCAUCACCAUAGAUUUCCCAGAGGAAGAUAUUUAAGUAUCAGAUCAAUCGUUGCCCUGGCAACCAUUCAGCGCUAACCAGAGAUUCUCAACCCUGGAUACCCAUGAGAAUCAACUGGACAGCCUUUGAAACCACAGCCAAAUUAAAUCAGAACCUCUGGAAGUGGGACCUAGGCAUCAGCAUUUUAUAAACGUUCCUCUAUGUGCAGCCAACCAGCACUCAGAGAUUCGGCCUGGACCACAAGAGGAAUUCAACUUUGGAUCAUCAGGCAAGAGACUUUGGUCAGGAGCCCUGAUGUGAUGUCUUGGUGAAUGUGAAGGGGGUGAACAGAAAUUGUCCUUGGAGCAUAGAACAGAAGCUUCCCUGCUGAGGCCGGAGGCUCAGCCUGGUGCAUUUCCUGCAGAGCAAUCACUGUGGUAACAAUGGGGUUAUGGAAGGGACUAUAGUUCCACGAGCUCCUAUAGAAGAGCAUCUGGCAGUCAAAGGACACUUUGUGACUGAUAAAACUCUUUGAUAUGGACUGACACCCAUCUCCCCUCCAACACCAGUUUAUGUAUUGAAGCUCUAACCUCCAUUGAGACUGCCUGGGAGAUGCUAUGAAUUGGAACCUGUACCUCCAAAUGACCUUGAGAAGAGAUGUAAUCACAGGAAACAAAGGGCAGCACAGUAGUCAUGGAAACAACAGGUAAUAACAGCCUAUUCCCAAGGACCUUACACCUC